rnacentral:rRNA from 1 species
GCUUAAAGCGGCCGUAGCUGGGUUGUUAAGUCUCUUGGGAAAUCUGGCAGCUUAACUGUCAGGCGUCUAAGAGAUACUGGCAAUCUAGGAACCGGGAGUGGUGAGGGGUACUUCGGGGGUAGGAGUGAAAUCCUGUAAUCCUCGAGGGACCACCUGUGGCGAAGGCGCCUCACCAGAACGGCUUCGACAGUGAGGGACGAAAGCUGGGGGAGCAAACCGGAUUAGAUACCCGGGUAGUCCCAGCCGUAAACGAUGCGCGUUAGGUGUGUCGAUGACCACGAGUCAUCGAGGUGCCGAAGGGAAACCGUGAAACGCGCCGCCUGGGAAGUACGGUCGCAAGGCUGAAACUUAAAGGAAUUGGCGGGGGAGCACCACAACAGGUGGAGCCUGCGGUUUAAUUGGACUCAACGCCGGGAAGCUCACCGGAUAGGACAGCAGAAUGAUUGCCGGGCUGAAGACUCUGCAUGACUAGCUGAGAGGAGGUGCAUGGCCGUCGUCAGUUCGUACUGUGAAGCAUCCUGUUAAGUCAGGCAACGAGCGAGACCCACGCCAACAGUUGCCAGCACGAUCCCCGGAUCGGUGGGGACACUGUUGGGACCGCCUCUGCUAAAGAGGAGGAAGGAAUGGGCAACGGUAGGUCCGCAUGCCCCUAA